AUCACAAUCACCAGGACAGGCUGACCCUAGUGCAGCUAAGAGCUUACCCCCAAAUCCCACAGUGAGAAACUGGCUGAUGAAUGUGCCUACAACUACAGAGCAGAGGAUGGGAUUGUGAUAGAUGCCCACAAAGAUGUUCUUCUCUCCUGGAUCUUUUGGGAGUUGGUUUCAUUGAAGACCUGCAUCCGCCUGAAGUUGUUGCAAAAUGUGUUAUGGCAUUGGCUGGAUGGUGGAUGAAGAGGCCCUUUCCUCUCACUAUCAGUAUCAAAGAACUUCUCACCAGCAAAAACAAGGAUAAAGGUGACAGUGAACUGACAGCCUGCAUAGCCCAAGAUGUUCACCAUAAUAUGUUAGAUCAGAAGCUUAUUUCAGCCAUAGAGAUGGCUCCCCAGCAAGUUUGUGCCCCCUGUGACCACUCCCGGCUUUGGACUGUCUCAAUAACGGAACUUUCUUAAGAAAACACUUCAGGGGCCGGG
rnacentral:lncRNA from 1 species